rnacentral:lncRNA from 1 species
CUCCCGCCGUUCGAGCCGUUUAUGAACAAUGGUAUGACGUCACAAUCCUCACUUUCGGAAACAGCCUGGGGGAUUUCGAAUUACUCACUAAGUCGCUUCACCACGUGGCGGAGAAGCGCAACGUGAUCGUUACCUGUUCCGGUGAAAACACUGUCGCCAUCUUGGAAACGAUCAAAAAGGAGAACUUAGAGACUCCCAAGAUCCAGUGGUCAGUGAUUCUGCAAGAGGAUGUAACUACGGAGCAUCUGACCGCUUCCUUGAGAGAGGGAACACAGAUAGCCCUGGCGCUUCGGACCUCACCCUCCUCUUAUCGCUUGUUAACCUCAUACGUCGACACAGAAAAUACAAUUAGGUAAGCGAAGUGUCCGGCUGGCAAUGGGAAUUGUGUAUAUAGACAAGGAAAAU